rnacentral:rRNA from 1 species
AACGAACGCUGGCGGCAGGCUUAACACAUGCAAGUCGAACGCCCCGCAAGGGGAGUGGCAGACGGGUGAGUAACGCGUGGGAACGUACCUUUCGCUUCGGAAUAUUCCCGGGAAACUGGGAGCAAUGCCGAAUACGCCGUAUUGGGAAAGAUUUAUCGGCGAAAGAUCGGCCCGCGUUAGAUUAGGUAGUUGGCGGUGUAAUGGACCACCAAGCCUACGAUCUAAAGCUGGUCUGAGAGGAUGAUCAGCCACACUGGGACUGAGACACGGCCCAGACUCCUACGGGAGGCAGCAGUGGGGAAUCUUGGACAAUGGGCGCAAGCCUGAUCCAGCCAUGCCGCGUGAGUGAAGAAGGCCUUAGGGUUGUAAAACUCUUUCGCCGGUGAAGAUAAUGACGGUAACCGGAGAAGAAGCCCCGGCUAACUUCGUGCCAGCCGCCGCCGUAA